UUGCUGCCUGGGAACUCCUCAAGGGCAGGAUCUUAUUGAAGAUGUUUGUAUCAGCAGCACCUGGCAGAGUGCCUGGGCCCAAAAGUACACUCCCAAGAAACAUUUGCUGAAUUUAAUUACAACAUCUUGCAGGUUCUCUGACCAUCCAGUGCCUUGCUGUUUAAUAAAGAGAUGGGGAUCUCGCCGUGUUGCUCAGACUGGUGUCAAAUUCCUGGACUCAAGCCAUCCUUCCACCUCGGCCUCCCAAACUGUUGGGAUUACAGGUGUUGCCAGACGAGAUUAACUUUUGAGCCUGUGGACUGGGAGAAGACCCGCCCUCAGGAAGACCCACCCACAGUGUGGGCAGGCAUCAUCCAAUGGGAUCUCAGCUUGGCUAGAAAAGGCCAGCAGAGGAAGGGAAGGAGCUGACUGGCUGAGUCUUCCAGCCUUCAUCUUUCUGCCGUGCUGGAUGCUUCCUCCCCGAAACAUCAGAUUCCAAGUUCUUCAGCUUUUGGACUCUUGGAUUUACACCAGUGGACUUGCCCCGCUAAAGGCUGGAGAGCGGUGUCCGCUUCUCUGCUUUUGAGGUUGUGGGACUCAGAGCCAUUACUG
rnacentral:lncRNA from 13 species